rnacentral:rRNA from 1 species
GCGGUGGAGCAUGUGGUUUAAUUCGAUGCAACGCGAAGAACCUUACCUGGCCUUGACAUCCAGAGAACUUAGCAGAGAUGCUUUGGUGCCUUCGGGAACUCUGAGACAGGUGCUGCAUGGCUGUCGUCAGCUCGUGUUGUGAAAUGUUGGGUUAAGUCCCGCAACGAGCGCAACCCUUAUCCUUUGUUGCCAGCGGUUCGGCCGGGAACUCAAAGGAGACUGCCGGUGAUAAACCGGAGGAAGGUGGGGAUGACGUCAAGUCAUCAUGGCCCUUACGGCCAGGGCUACACACGUGCUACAAUGGCGCAUACAAAGAGAAGCGACCUCGCGAGAGCAAGCGGACCUCAUAAAGUGCGUCGUAGUCCGGAUUGGAGUCUGCAACUCGACUCCAUGAAGUCGGAAUCGCUAGUAAUCGUAGAUCAGAAUGCUACGGUGAAUACGUUCCCGGGCCUUGUACACACCGCCCGUCACACCAUGGGAGUGGGUUGCAAAAGAAGUAGGUAGCUUAACCUUCGGGAGGGCGCUUACCACUUUGUGAUUCAUGACUGGGGUGAAGUCGUAACAAGGUAACCAAGGGCGAAUUCUG